GCUGAAACUAUCCUCUAUUUCUUCUUUCAUUCUUAUACUGUCCACUAUUCGCUGGUACUAUCUCAAGAAGCUAACUAUACUAUAUGUAGGCCCAACAUUGUCUUUGAACCUAGCAUUUGUACCUUCACUCCUUCCUGUACUCUGUAUGAAAGGAAAGAAGUCAUUUUUGAAGUAAACAGCAUCUCAAAUUCCUCUUCUGUAACUGAGAAGUUGACUGUGUCUUCAAAAAUUUCAGGAAUGCACAUCCAAACAAACAUGUGUGGGCAUGGCCUGUUAUUCCAACAAAUGGU